CGAGCGGACGAGUACGAAUGUCAUGAAAUUAGUUAAUCGCGAACGAAUCGAUGGAUUAAGUGUGAGUUGUUUUAUUUGCUUGGUGCUACGAAACCGACGGUAUCUAACGAUUACUAGAAAAACGCAGGCGUUGAUCGACAUUAAAAUGUGAUCUGUGUGGUGUCGGAGGAGGAUGAAAUGGCCGGUGCGUUGAUUGCAAAGUUGUUUGAAAAGGUCCAUCAUCAUCCCUUCGUUAUUGUAGUGAUUUUGUGCAAAUAGUGGAAUAUAAUCGCCAAUAGGUGGUGACCGUCAGCCAAAUCGCACAACCGUUUUGUGGAUUACUAGGUACCCAUCACUGCGAGGGAGAAAAGUUCAUCCGUUCGAUUUCGUUUCUGUUUAUUUUCCAUCGUUGAUUUUUAUUUACCUUAACCUUUGACCGUUUGUUUGCAUAACUGUGCUUAAUUUUCAACGGAGCUCAUUAAAUUUAUUUACUUUUAACCAAAACCAUGGCUUGGCGCUUUUAUUCCCUAAUCUUUGCCUCGUUUGCCAUCGGAUGAAAUCAUCAUUAACGAUAGGAAAAAAAAAGCUGAAAAUAUUGAUCGAAACCGGAAAUUGUGUGAAAAAGCGCGAAAAUCUAAAGAGUGACACUAUUAAUUCAAUUUGGUGGUAGUUUUAUGGAGAGGUUUAUGGUUAUUAUCGAGAUUUAUAGCCACUUGCUGGUAUGCAUCAGCCUACGGGUCUGUUCGGUCAGAAACGAAAGAGUGUGUGAUUUCAAGUGUAUAAUUGGUUUUUCAAUUUUGAGCCACCCGAAGAGCAAAAGAAAAAAAAAAUCAUAAAAUGAAAUGUGCAUUGAAAGUUAAUCUCGAAGUGAAGCGCAGUAGUGAUGAUGAUGAAGAAGAAGAACAACAGCAAACCAUCUCCGCAGCAAAGGAGCCAAAAGGAAGCGUGAAACAACAAGUUUUAUUGUGGCGAAACAGUAAAAAAUAUUUUUAUAGCAAAGCAUGGAAUUGAAAUUAGAUGGAAUUAUGUCACUUGGUGUUUUACGAUUGGUACCGUCAACUUUACGAGUGUCGAUCAGUCACAGGGAGAUGACUAUGGAAGCGCUUUCAGUGGACGACCUUGGAUUCACAGAGUGUCAGGAAUUAUCAGACUUCGAAUGGAUUAAAGAUGCCCGAGGAUGCCAGU